GCUACGAGUUGGCGAAGUUGAGAAGUCAGCAGAGGCCAUAAUAGUACUAUCUGCUGGAAUAGUACGAAGGAC
rfam:Imtechella halotolerans K1 Contig17, whole genome shotgun sequence.